GCUCUUCUGGCACAUUUGAAAACCAUUUACUGGCUGUAGAGUUGCAGGCAAGUCCAAGGAAACACGUUGUAAAUGACUGUGAAACUGAAGCUCCUCACAACGGAAAAGCGCCUUCUGGGAGAAUAACAUUCACUCUGUGUGCCUACCCAGACCAUGUAGUAACGAAACUGCAUUUUGAAAGACAU